rnacentral:lncRNA from 13 species
AAUAAAUAAUUAAUUAAUUUAAAAAAUAAAAAUUUAAACUUUUAUUAAAAAGUUGAGUUUAGGUUGCUAACUGCCAGCUAAGUGGGCACUGUAUUCACAACACACACACCCAGGAUUGAUAAGGAUCUUCCUCAGCCGGAGAGCUCAAACAGAUGACAACAGAAGUGUUAAUCAUUUCCUUACUAAGCAAUCUUAGUCACAGGUUCCUGCUAAAAGUGAAAUCACUCCCUCGGGUUUAAACACAGUUGAAAAUGUUUAACUUAGUUGCAGUUUCUUCCUUCUAGGUUAAGCACGUGGAAAUUUGUUUGGCAAUUCUUUUUACAGCAUUAUUUCCAUUUGUUACUCCCACAAGCUGGAGUUUAUCUGACUGGGUGGUGCAUGGAAACUUCAGGACAAAAUUUAAUGGCCAAAGGCUGAGUGAAAUUUACCCUGACUGUAGUUAUGAAAAGGGUCCUUGAGGAAUCGCCACACUGUCUUCCACAAUGGUUGAACUAAUUUGCCUCCCACCAGCAGUGUAAAAGUGUUCCUAUUUCUUCACAUCCUUUCCAGCAUC